rnacentral:tRNA from 1 species
GGCCUCGUAGCUCAGUUGGCUAGAGCGUUGGCUGUACUAAAGCCUUCCCCUUGCUGGCAUGGGAUCAAAUCCCACCGAGGCCG